AUUGAACGCUGGCGGAAUGCUUUACACAUGCAAGUCGAGCGGCAGCACGGGGGCAACCCUGGUGGCGAGCGGCGAACGGGUGAGUAAUACAUCGGAACAUGCCCAGUCGUGGGGGAUAACACUUCGAAAGAAGCGCUAGUACCGCAGACGUCCUGAGUGAGAAAGCGGGGGAUCUGCGGACCUCGCGCGAUUGGAGUGGUCGAUGUCAGAUUAGCUAGUUGGUGGGGUAAAGGCCUACCAAGGCAACGAUCUGUAGCUGGUCUGAGAGGAUGAUCAGCCACACUGGGACUGAGACACGGCCCAGACUCCUACGGGAGGCAGCAGUGGGGAAUUUUGGACAAUGGGGGCAACCCUGAUCCAGCCAUUCCGCGUGAGUGAAGAAGGCCUUCGGGUUGUAAAGCUCUUUCGGCAGGAACGAAACGGCGGGCUCUAACAUAGCUUGCUAAUGACGGUACCUGAAGAAGAAGCACCGGCUAACUACGUGCCAGCCGCCGCAGUAAUAC
rnacentral:rRNA from 1 species